rnacentral:lncRNA from 1 species
CAUGAUUCUGAGGCUUCCCCAGCCGUGUGGAACUGCCAAAGGAGAGAGUGGAAGAAGUCAAACUUGGAAGAUUGAAAAACUGUUUUUAAAAGUAAUUCUAUGGCUGCUCAACAGUUAAGGCUGCUGGACUUGAAUUCCACCCUGAAGCUUAUAAAGUCAUCGCUGGGUUACUCUGCUAUCAGUUUGGUUAUUUCAUGGAAGAGAAGGAGACAAAGGGACUUGCUCUUUUGCCAAGUGCGUUGUUCCAGGAUGAGCAGGCUAGAGGAAGGAAAAAGAAUGCUUUACGCUGCAAGUGCCUGCCUUUUCAGCACAAGGAAACCUGCUGCUAUUAUUUUCUCUAUAAUCCACUUUGGUAAAGAUACAUAAUAGACAUUUAUAUAAUGCAUGUAAAAAGUCAGAAAACCAGAAAGUUCUCUGACAGUAACACCUUACAACCUGAUACUGAAGAAAAUAUCCUUGUAAGAUGAACAUUGUGCAUUUCAUAGACAUUGCUCUUUUAGUUCCCUAAGCCUAACUGGCAGGCCUAGCAUUUCAUUACAUCUCAUAUAGCGACUGAUUGCUUGGGGCAUCAUAUUCCUUUAAAAGUCAUGCCUUUACUGCCUUUCCGUAAUUGCAUUCUGUGUGUGCAAUGAUCUGAAAGCUAUUUGAGAAGAAGGAGCAUAAUAUUACAUAUAUGUUAGAGAGAAAUACCAAACCCCUGUACCAUUUCUUGACACUUGAAGGUUUUAAUAGUGCUGAUUCAAUAAUAAUGUAGUCACAUCAUUAAUUUGUAUUACCCUGGUUUGCAAUUUCUACAGGCUUUUUAAAAAGAAAAAUAAACCCAU